GGGUAGUUUGACUGGGGCGGUCGCCUCCCAAACUGUAACGGAGGCGCGCGAAGGUUCGCUCAGGCUGUUUGGAAAUCAGCCGGAGAGUGCAAAGGCAGAAGCGAGCUUGACUGCGAGACACACACGUCGAGCAGGUGGGAAACCAGGCCUUAGUGAUCCGGUGGUUCCGCAUGGAAGGGCCAUCGCUCAACGGAUAAAAGGUACGCCGGGGAUAACAGGCUUAUCUUGGCCAAGAGUUCAUAUCGACGCCAAGGUUUGGCACCUCGAUGUCGGCUCAUCGCAUCCUGGAGCUGUAGCAGGUUCCAAGGGUUCGGCUGUUCGCCGAUUAAAGCGGUACGUGAGCUGGGUUUAGAACGUCGCGAGACAGUUCGGUCCCUAUCUACCAUGGGCGCAGGAGAUUUGAGGGGGGCUGUCCCUAGUACGAGAGGACCGGGAUGGACGAACCUCUAGUGUACCAGUUGUCGCGCCAGCGGCAGUGCUGGGUAGCUACGUUCGGAUGGGAGAAACGCUGAAAGCAUCUAAGCGUGAAACCCUCCCCAAGAUGAGAUCUCCCUGGAUCUUCGGAUCCCUGAAGGCUCCUGGAAGACUACCAGGUAUAUAGGCCAGAUGUGUAAGGCUUGCGAGAGCUUGAGCUUACUGGUACUAAUCAGCCGUGAGGCUUGACCUU
rnacentral:rRNA from 1 species